rnacentral:rRNA from 1 species
CUACGGGCUGCAGCAGUGGGGAAUUUUGGACAAUGGGCGCAAGCCUGAACCAGCCAUUCCGCGUGAGUGAAGAAGGCCUUCGGGUUGUAAAGCUCUUUCGCAAGGGAAGAAAACUUAUCCUCUAACAUAGGGUGAGGUUGACGGUACCUUGAUAAGAAGCACCGGCUAACUACGUGCCAGCAGCCGCGGUAAUACGUAGGGUGCGAGCGCUAAUCGGAAUUACUGGGCGUAAAGCGUGCGCAGGCUGUUUUGUAAGUCAGAUGUGAAAUCCCCGAGCUCAACUUGGGAACUGCGUUUGAAACUACAAGACUAGAAUAUGUCAGAGGGGGGUAGAAUUCCAUGUGUAGCAGUGAAAUGCGUAGAGAUGUGGAGGAAUACCAAUGGCGAAGGCAGCCCCCUGGGAUAAUAUUGACGCUCAUGCACGAAAGCGUGGGGAGCAAACAGGAUUAGAUACCCCUGUAGUC